GGAUUAGAUACCCUGGUAGUCCACGCAGUAAACGAUGAAUACUAACUGUUGGCGAUAUAAUGUCAGUGGUACAGCGAAAGCGUUAAGUAUUCCACCUGGGGAGUACGCCGGCAACGGUGAAACUCAAAGGAAUUGACGGGGGCCCGCACAAGCGGAGGAACAUGUGGUUUAAUUCGAUGAUACGCGAGGAACCUUACCCGGGCUUGAACGUAGGGGGAAUAUGGUGGAAACAUCAUAGCCAGCAAUGGUCGCCUACGAGGUGCUGCAUGGUUGUCGUCAGCUCGUGCCG
rnacentral:rRNA from 1 species